rnacentral:rRNA from 1 species
UACGUAGGAGACGAGCGUUGUCCGGAAUCACUGGGCGUAAAGCGCGUGUAGGCGGAUCGGCAAGUCUGCUGUGAAAGCUCCUGGCUUAACCGGGAGUGGUCGGUGGAAACUGCCAGUCUGGAGGACGGUAGAGGUAGGUAGAAUUCCCGGUGUAGUGGUGAAAUGCGUAGAGAUCGGGAGGAAUACCUGUGGCGAAGGCGGCCCUACUGGGCCGGACCUGACGCUGAGACGCGAAGGCGUGGGGAGCGAACGGG